UACAGAGGUCUCAAGCGUUGUUCGGAUUCACUGGGCGUAAAGGGCGCGUAGGCGGCGCUGUAAGUCGGGUGUGAAAUCUCGGAGCUUAACUCCGAAACUGCAUUCGAUACUGGCGUGCUUGAGGACUGGAGAGGAGGCUGGAAUUCAUGGUGUAGCAGUGAAAUGCGUAGAGAUCAUGAGGAAGACCAGUGGCGAAGGCGGGUCUCUGGACAGUUCCUGACGCUGAGACACGAAGGCCAGGGGAGCAAACGGG
rnacentral:rRNA from 1 species